AAGCAAUGGGCUAGAUGAGGAGACCAUUCAGGGUCAUCUCACCAGAACAUCUUUCAGGGUCUCUUACAACUGAGGAUAUAAUACAACAACUGUCAAUUUUUAGCACACCAGCAUAGUACUCUGUACCUGUGAGCCAGGCUUGCCUUUUCUUCCUCUGUGAGUUGGUCAGCAGAAACCCAUGGGUUGAAGGUGAGGCGCUGGUGCAGUAGAAGUAGUUCGUAUGCAGUCUGAUCAGCAGUUAAUGGUAAUUUACUCAUAAUUUUGGACCUGGUCCAGCCCCCUUUUAUGUGUGCCAGUUCUGUCAUCUGGUGGGUUGCCGCCAUGUCUGGCUAACAGUCUGACUUGAUGAUCUGAAAAUAUGCAACACCGUAGAGACCAUGCUUCCUUCUGCCUGCUCUCAGUGACUGAACAGAGCAGAGAUACUAAAGCAGGUCUGUUCCUAAGAGACAGGAGACUUUAGCUUGGGAACUUUCCAAUGACCCUGCCAAACUUCCCUUAGAAUUGCACCGCAGCCUAAGAUGCUUGCACUCACCCUCCCUUCUUUCUUUUUCUCUUUCUCUUUCAAUCAGGGGCAGAUCUGCAUCACGGGCUUGCAUGUCCAAUUUCACCUUGGCACUUGCUUCUCCGAGGGUCUGGACAUGGGGCUUCGUUUGAGUCUGGAAGCAGUGGAGAGGGGCCAGAAGCUCCAGGCCUUGGCUUGGAGAUCUCUACAGGUGUGCAUGGAGAUGUUUGAAGUGCUAAUGGCUGAGACAGAGCAAGUGGCAGAGGCCUAGGAGACGGAGGCUGAAAGAGUCUGAGGAGGAAAGGAGGCACUGAGGGACUCACAUGAAGCUACUCUGUCAGCAUUCUAAAACUUCUGACAUUCUUUUCUAUGAAGAUAAUUGAAUCACCAAAUUUGAUGAAAUGUUCCCCAAAUAUCAGGUGAAAAAAACUCAUCUAAACCUUUGGACUUGGAAUUGCCCACAUAGACCACAUCAGCAAUGGAAGACAGAGCAAAUAACAUGUCGGUUCAAUGUAUGAAGGAGCUUUUCUUUCCCCUGCCCCAACCCUCAGACAGGUAAAUCUGUGAAAGCUCUAUUUUGAUUCUUUUUAAAUUAUUUGUUUUACAUGUUUUGUGUUUUAUGUUGGCUGAUUCCAAAUGGUUGAAAUAGUGGAGGUCCAACAACCAUUUUCACAGUGUAAUCUUCAGAAGUUCAUCCUUUGGGUUGUAAUUUCAUGAUAAGGAGGAGCAAGAAGAUGCUUUUUGUAACUCAAAUAGCAUCUUCUGAGAAAGGUCUCUAUUUUCACUUGUGUCUUAACUUACAACUGUGUUCAACUCUAUUUCCUUUCCUUGCUUUACAUUUUUUCUUAUGCACCUAUAAUUAUCCAAUUUACUAUAUAUUUUAUAUUUGUCUGUUAUUGUCUGUUUUCUCCACUAAAACAUAAACUUCUUGCAGGAUUUUUGUCUGUUUUUCUCACUGUUGAAUCCCAAAAGCAAAGAAGAAUACCUAGCAUAGAGUUAGUGUUCAAGAAACAUUUGCUAAAUGGAUGAACACCUCUUCAUUUUAUGAGAAAUGAAUCUUCCCCAAGAAGGGGCUCCCGGGUGCAUCUUGUGUGUAGACAUCUCUAUGUCCCCAGGCUGCUGUAGAGCUGAGUCAUCUUUGUGCCCACACCUGGGAAGCAGGACCCUUGUUCGUGUUUCUUUGGCCUUGGGCAUGUCAGUGAGUAAGGAGGAUGUGUGGGAUCUGUGUCCAUAUUUACGUAAGAAAGCAAUAUAGCCUACUGCCCCUUUCAUUUUCAGCAAGUGUGUGUUUACACUGGCCUGGGAUCUACUAUAAAGUUUAAUGUUUGGUUAUACAUUUAUUUCUCAGCUACUUUUGUGAAUAAACAUUUUCUAAAACAUAUCUAUUUUAAAAGUGACAAUGUUUGAAUGAAAGAAAGAGGAGGAGUGAAGCCUGGUAGUUAAUUUGCAGAACUUAGAGCCUGAAUUUUUUGGGUUGGAUCUUUGAUUUUACCAUUCAUUAGUUUUGUGAUCUUCCUCAAUUUCCCAAUCUGUAAAAUGGAAAUAAUAAUAGUACCUACCUCAUGGGAUGUCAAGAGUAAAUAUAAAAAAUGUGUGACACCCAGGAAUGACUAUAUAAGUACUAGCAGUUAAUAUUAUUUAUUAUUAUUAUUCCUGCUUGAAUAAUCACUUUGAGCUAAAUCACUUUGUUUUUACUACUAGCAAUAAGCAUGCUUAAAUACUUUUAAUGUUAUUAUAAUUUGUAUUAUAGUAGACUAAUCUGGAAUUUUAUUAAGCAGAAUUCCCUCUAGACAGGCAUCUAUGCAUACGGAGCAAAAAAUGAUGUAUAUAAUAAUAAGUUUGAGGCACUGAAAGAUCUUGAAUGAGCUUCUGAAUCAUCAGUUACUGUAUCUUUGGGGGUGAGUGAAUUUUAUUACAAAGAAACUUUUUUUUUUUUUUAAAUUUGGUAAUCCUUAAGUAACAAUGUGCAAAUUUCUUUCAAGAAGUGCUGUUGAAUGCUAGGGAUGAGUAGUGUGAUGACUACUCCAAAUUAAGACAAUAAGGCCAGUUUGACAAUCAGCAAUGUGCUAUGCAGCUGAACUGGAGGCACAGUGGUGCUGGUGAAUUGGGCCAGCUCUGGAGAAUUUGAACAUAUAGACAGAGGGCAUGAUGUCUGACUUCUCCAGGCACUAUUGCAUCCCAGUCCGACUUUCCUAGGAUCACUUCAAGUUUGAUCAUAACCCCAAAUCCCUCAGCACCUUCAUUAUCACUCAUAAGCCACAGGGCGCUUGCUGGCAGCCCUUGUUUCUGAUCUGUUUCUCCACCACUGUUACUUGUAUUAUGGCACAUGACUCUGUUCCCAACACCCUCAGGCCUUGGGAAGGGGAUAGGCUGAAAUAAGUAGAUAUUGCUGUUGAAAGAAACAAUUUCAAUGAGGUCUCCCCCCACGCAUCCUUGCUGAGGUCGUGGCGAGACAUAGAUGGAGGGUAGGCAAAAGCAGGAAGAUGACAGCAGAGCAGUAAGGGCUCAGCAAACGAGAGACUAGGGCAGGUGUGUGAAGAAGGGAGAAUGGAAGAGGAAUUGGAUGCAUGAAGGCAGAGAAAGUAGGUGGUGGGCAGAAAUAAUGGGAAAAUGUGAAUCUUCAGAAGUCAAAAUUUAAUGAUGUUUGCUUAACAUUUGCAUAUAUGAUACUACUCCCCAAGUAUGUGAACUAGACAGUUUACAUAUAAGGCAGGAAAAUAGGGUCUGGAGGCAGGGAACAUAAGGCCAAUUCACACUUCAGCUAUGACAGAAAAUAUCUUCUCCAUAGGGCAUAGUUGCUAGGGCCACUCAGAGAGAGAGAAUCCUGAAACCUAGCAUACCAGCUAAAGGGUAAGAAUUUCUUACUAGCCAGUCUCUGGCCUCUUUCUCUCUGUGCAAACUGGCUAAUCUCCAUUGUAAAGUUUUAAAUUAAUUGGUUUAAUAAUAAUAAGAGCUUAAAUCAAAUAUUUCAUCAGGAAAGUAGAAAGCGUAAUGCCUUUUAGUUCACGUGACUUUAGCAAUUUUUGGGAAAUAAAGAGGGUUUUAAAGAUUAUUGGUAAAAUACAAUGUCUUUAAAAUGGAAACAUGUGGUCUAAAUUAUGUUCCAAUAUUAGGUUUGCUGAAUGCUUUAAGGUCAUAAACUGCUUAUUUGGCUUUUGAAAAUUGUUUAACUUGCCUGCUUUCCAGCUAGGUAAGGCCUGGGAACAUGUGGAGUUGGCCAUGCCCCUAGCUAUGCUGCAAACAGUCAAACCUUUUCAGAACAUAACUUACCAGGUUUUACAUUAAAGUUAAAAUUGCUAAGAGUCACCAUUGUAACAUGCAAUUAAGACUACUAGAAACGGUUUUACAUGCACGGUGUGUAAGAAUAGUAGAAUGUAUGUCUCUGUGUGUGUUUUGUAAAAGGUUUUUACUUCUUUAAAAUUUCUGAGUCAUUAUUUUGGCAAAAUAAAUAAUCUGGAAUUCCAAAAUCAAACUUCAGUUUCAAAAUUGUCUUUCCUAAUGCCUGGCUUUCUGGAUGGAUCAGAGGGCCCCUGAAAACAUCCAGAAAGGAGGUAAACAGGAUUAUUUGAUGUGUUUAGGUACAUGGGAUUGCCAAAAUGAUGUUCCGUGUUCUUUAAGUUUUUUUUGUGAAUAAUACUAAUAUAUGUUCCAAAAUUGUAUGGGAUUCCUAAAAUAGUACAUGCUAUCAAUUAUAAUUAUGGGUAUUAUGUUAAGUUAUUGUAAACCACACAAAUAACCAAAUUUCCUUGUAUAAAGCUACUAACCCAAGUAGAACAAAAAUUAAUUAAAUACCAAUAAAAUACUUUGUCAGACUUUCAUGUUAAACCAGCUGAUACUGAAAUUUUUAAGAUAGUUUAUAACCAAUGCUUGGUCCCAUAUUCCUGGGAAGACAAUUAAAGCUUCAUGUACAUUUGGUCACCUUGUGGGCCAUUUAAACAUUUUAUAAAGGGAUUUCAUUCAAUUGUUAUUUCCAAUGCAUGCUUUCUGGUUGUAUAAAAGCUUUCCCACGUGAGAGGGCUGAUGUUAUCACAGUAGAUUAUUAUGCUACAGUGUAUUUGCACCAGGUAAAAAAGCUUUUUAUGGUUUGAAUCUUCUGAGAACACCAGAGAAAGACUCUCCUUACCAUCCUCACUGCAACUAAACUUCGGGACCCUGGGCUUUGGGUUCAUGGUCUCGCCACUGAAAAGGUUCCCUCCACACUUUUGGAAUUGUGCACCCAUUGGAACCCUUGAGGUAAAGCUAACCAGAGAAAUUUCUCCCAAGAAGAAGAAGAUGGCAUCCUUGAAGUGAACAGCUUUUCCCAAGUUCACAGAGUAAGACUUCUACUAUCAUGAAACUCUUAUCUUUGAAUAUUUUUUCUUGCUUAUAUCUCUACUAACAAUAGAAGUGGAAAAAGGGUCUGUUAUGUGCACUUAUGGGGUAUACUUUUAUUUGUGAAGAAGUUUGCAGCCAGCCUUAUACAUGGAUAACCUUCUACUUUGAUAGAGAUGAAGGCCCAAUGCAGGUAAGAAACUUUAGUGGUACAUAUGUUGCCCCAUAAUCACUCAAAAACAAAAUAUUGGUUCAUCCCUCUUAACCCACAUCAUGGGUUAAAGAGAACAUUGCCAGGGGGUCUUCACUCUCCUAGAAGGGCAUCAUUUGUUAAGUCCUUUUUCCAUGGCUUAAAGUAAAGGAAGCAAUGAUUAGAAAUGUAUCCCUCAUGAUAGGCUCUAUAGCAAAUCUACUUUAAAGGCUAUCGUUACACAACAGAUUUUAAAUUCUCUUUGAAAGUUAUGCUAAAUAGAAUUGGCUAAACAAAGAAGUUCUUCUGCAGCUGCUGACACUUGCGGCCUAUGGAGAAACAGGUCAAAUGCAGAUUAUAAAAAUUCAGUGUAGGGGAUUAAUGAAAAGACCACUUAGUCAAGUGAGUAGACUCUUCAUCUAGCUCAUUCUUUAAACUAUUUAAGUGUAGGUGGUUUGGUUUCUAGGGACCCUGGUUAAGGAGCAUACUCUGAACUCUGGGUAUUUUCCUUCCAGUAGUGAUAAUAGUAGUCUCCUUGGUGCACUGUAUUCUCUCAAAGGUUUUAAAUGCUUGCAUGCAGCCAUCUCUAGAACAUCAAAUGGUCUCUCUUCGACUGGAAUGACAACAGCUGAAAGAAAUGUUCAACCAUGAGGACACCAUACCUAUAAAUGAUGUGCUGAGACUGGAAACCCAAAAUGUUGGUAACUGAGAAGUGGCACUAAGGCCCUAAGUUUUGGUUGCACACUCACCUAAGUGAGAACCUGACCAAAAAGGGGGGAUUUUUAAAACAAAACUCUGUGAGGCCAUUGUUUUGGACUAAGCUCAUGCACUCAUGCCCUGGGCCCCAACAGACUAAAGCAAACACAGAUGGAGUCAUUUGUGCUAAGACUUUAAGGAAACGCUUGGAUUCCACAACAGACUAGCUUUUGUUUUUUUCUUCUGCAAAUCUCUAUAACAAACAUUUCUGACAACAUAGGUAUCCACCCCCUGAAGUUCCCAUUAAAUCUUUUAACCAAAUUCAUUUCCUCUCACCUAGAGACCAUCAAGCUUCAGAUGAUGAUGCAACAAAGGUUUCAGCCAGUUCCAGGUGAAGACACCACCCUUGGACAUCAAGAAGCUACCCUGCCUCCACUAGAUAGAGCAGGGAGAGUUCUGUGAUCCCCAAUAGGGCCUUUGUAGACGCUAUCCCUUUGUGGAGAAGACUCUCAACACCCUUCAAAUACUAUGAUCUCAUCAGGAAGGCCCUCCCUGACCACCUAUGCCUGGCUGUUGUCUGAACAAUGAAUCCUGGAAGCACCUAGGAGAAGGCACCUAGGAGAAACGUCUUAGGGAGUAGUCCCGCGGGUCCGCCCCAGGACAGUAACGCUGUCAGUUUCCCCGCCCUUUGCACCUGUAGUGCAGACGGUACCAAAUGCGAUGGCUUUGAGACGUCCUCUAGACAUCGGAGCCCAUCAUUUACCACAAAGAACACUGAAGUACUUACUUUAGCAGAACAUUUUCCGAAGAAAAAUUAACAGGGAGAGGAAAUGAAGGACACUAACAAACAGACCCCAUCUCUAGAGUCUGAGAUCAAACCCAAGUCCGAUGGAGCCCGGGCAUCUGGUGGAGGAAAGCGGGCAGGCAUAGCCCCAAUCCUGGUCCUCAACAAGAUAUUUCUGUGAAUGAAUCCCUCUGCUCCCUGGAGGAGGGCACAUUACAUAUCCCUUUCCUAAAUCAGAACUGAAGCAAUUUGCCCAUCAUUCGCACACCUCGACAGGGAAAGGCAGGAUUCCAGUGUCUCAUCAGACCCGGGAAGAGGGGAAGGGUCGCUGGCGCAGUUACCUACUGGGUUUCCGGGAGCUAGGGAAAACGCCCCUGGGAAACGCAAGUGUUCAGCGCCACAUAAAACUUCCCCGGAUUUAGGGCCACCCUAAGACGGGCGAAAAGACUCUCCAGCGCCUUAGCAGGUGCAAAGCCAGCUGUCAGUGUGCGCAUGGCGAGUCCCCGUUCCCGAGAAGGGACGCAAAUGACCCUAGAAAAUCAGACAGGAGCAAAACAAACCCAAGAAUGACCCUCCACACACCACAAAGGCAAAAGCAAACAGAAGGCACCUAGACACACUCUGCAAAGUGUAGAACUGUCUACACUUGCAUGGAGG
rnacentral:lncRNA from 10 species